CAUGGGAACCGUGGCGAUUUGUACCGGAUUGCGGGCCACGUAAAAGAAACCGCUAAAGAGGUCAGGACGACAAGGAC
rnacentral:ncRNA from 2 species